UACGUAGGCAGCGAGCGUUGUUCGGAGUUACUGGGCGUAAAGGGUGUGUAGGCGGUUGUUUAAGUUUGGUGUGAAAUCUCCCGGCUCAACUGGGAGGGUGCGCCGAAUACUGAAUGACUAGAGUGCGGGAGAGGUGAGUGGAGUUCCUGGUGUAGCGGUGAAAUGCGUAGAUAUCAGGAGGAACACCGGUGGUGUAGACGGCUCACUGGACCGUAACUGACGCUGAGACACGAAAGCGUGGGUAGCAAACAGG
rnacentral:rRNA from 1 species